rnacentral:rRNA from 1 species
UACUAUAGCUUGACACUGAACAUUGAGCCUUGAUGUGUAGGAUAGGUGGGAGGCUUUGAAGUGUGGACGCCAGUCUGCAUGGAGCCGACCUUGAAAUACCACCCUUUAAUGUUUGAUGUUCUAACGUGGACCCGUAAUCCGGGUUGCGGACAGUGUCUGGUGGGUAGUUUGACUGGGGCGGUCUCCUCCUAAAGAGUAACGGAGGAGCACGAAGGUUGGCUAAUCCUGGUCGGACAUCAGGAGGUUAGUGCAAUGGCAUAAGC